rnacentral:sRNA from 1 species
UCACAAGAUGGCAACGUAACUUCAGGA